AGGGAGGAGAAAAAGGAAAGAUCACAAGGAAUUCACAGAAAAAAAAACAUUCGAUCGUUAGAGCAGCUCAGCUCCGGGAGAGAUAAGGAAGCAAUCAACAAAAAUGAUGGAAAAAAAAAAAAAAACAAAGGAAACAGCAGCAGCAAAAACAAGGAAAGUUUGGAUCCAGUCCAGAGCAACAAGAACAACAGACAAUACAAGGUAAAAAACAAUCCUGGUACCUGGAAGCUGUCGCCGAUGUUGAUCACGAUGGCAUUGUCUAUUGGCUUUACCGCUAUCCACUGACCUUUUCUCGCUAUCUGCAGGCCUCCUACACUGUCCUGGUGGAGAAUUGUCACACAGUUUGGAUCUGUGUGAGGAACAAGGCCGAGAGCCAUGCUCGGCUCCGGACACGAUGGAUAGUAAUUGAAGCGAGUUCCAGUGAAUCCACAGCCGCUCAGCAAAUCGCUGGCGGUGGACUCCUUCACUCCCAGGCUCAGCACCAGCAGCCGAAGUAUGCGUUUUCCAAGCUUGUCCAUCUCUCUCAGGUAAUCCGUGAAAGUUUUGCUGCAUACAGCCAUAUACAACUUUAGAAAGCAUGAUCUUUGAAGUGUUUUUUUUUUCGGAAUUAAGGCCUCUUUUUUUCCGCUACCUGAUAGUUGUGCUUUGUUCCGGCCAUGCGCAGCUCGCAAUCUGGGGAAUGGCGGACAGGUCGUGUACAUUGAGUCCCUCCACCCAGGAACACGCCGUGUAUUUCUUGCGGGAGAAGCUCUC
rnacentral:lncRNA from 1 species